ensembl:miRNA
UAUUAGGUUGGUGCAAAAGUGAUUGCAGUUUUUGUCGUUACAUUUAAUGGCAAAAACUGCAAUCACUUUUGCACCAACCUAAAUAUUU